rnacentral:lncRNA from 1 species
AUGAGUGAAAAGAACUCUGUCGUCUUCAGUUUCCCUCUCAGCGCUCCCGCCUCGGACCAUCAGUUCAGCGUGGAAGAGAACGAGACUUCGUUUUCUGGCAAGAUCCACCACCACCACCGUCGCCACACACACAGCCCGGACACAGGCUGCCACGCACACACAAAGAACAGACGUCGGGCCCCUCACUGUUCCGCAGAUGAUUUGGACGUCUCGCAGUCCCUUCUCAAGGCUCUGGAGUCGGAGCGAGACUCCCCCCCGUGGCCCUCACUGCAGAUCAACAUGGACAAGGGGGAAGAGAAGUACCUGUCUGAGAAGUCCCUGCACCCUCCACCGUCUCCGGCCAUGCUCCCCGACCACCUGAAAUGUAACAUCCUCAAGGCCCAGAUGGAGGCGGCUUUCAGGGAAGCGCCCACAACGCCGAGAGUGAAGCACCUAAAUGAGACCCUUCCUGACAGGAAUCAGAACUCGUCCCAAGACUCGGCUGCAUCCAGUCUCACCACAGAGAAGAUGCCACACUGGCAAGACCGUAACCCCACGCCUGAGAGGCUGCAGGCCAAAGCCAGCACGAGCAGCAACCGCAGGAAACGACUCGUCAGACAGUUCAGCUUUAACCACGAAGAUGAAGACGAUCUCCCAGAAGCGCUCGCCGCCAUCUCGUCCCAGAGUACAGGAAAGUCAGGAUCUACCAGCUCAUUAGACAAACAGAUACAGCCCUCUAUAUACCCACAGGGGGAUAAAAUGCCAGCAUUGGAGCUGAGCAGUCCAUGCCGCCCCUCUCCUUUGCCUUCUCCCCACCUGUCCCCUUCGUACUACCGUAGCUCCGUUCCUCACCCGGUCCCUUACCUCACUACCCAGACAGACAGCGGAGAUGAAGUGAGGCUGGACAGAGAGAAGAUCCUCAGGGCGCUCCUGAUGACGGAGCUCUGAGGCCGGAACCCCCUGGAUCAAGCGGAUCAAGAUACACGUGUACAUCUGAAUCACACAUUCAGCAGCUAUCAAUACAUAUUUGCAAACAGACUAUAUUUACUGUAUAUUUGCUUUACUGUUGAUGACUUUAUAUUAAUCAAUCUAAAAAAGAAAAACCUUAAUGAAACCAAAAUGGACUCAUAUGUGACAGAUGCUACAGAUGUGACCGGUGCUGCCUGCAUGAUAAGUGUGUCACUUGAUUAAAUGUUUAUGUGAUUUGCUUUUGCAGUCAUGUUUAAGACUGACUCGUCAAUGCUUUCCAUAUAUUUCAGACUCCGACUGUUGGGGUGUGGGGGGGGGGGUCUAAUUUGUACACACACACCACACACACUUACACACAGUUGUGUGACUUGUCACAAUUAUGUCAAACUGUCAGUUUGUUGAAAAUGUAAAUAGAGAUUCUACUUAAUGCACUGACACUGUACUGGCUUAACUUCCAUGUUUUUCUCAAUCCACAUUCUGGAAACGUCUUGAGUUGUUUUGCUGUGACUCCACCGCUGCGGUUUCAAACCAACCAGUAGGGGGAGACAAACCUGCACUCGCGGCUCCUGUGGUAGCUCGACACGUUGCUCCUGUGUUGUCAUGUGGAACAGAUCACACGAUAUGUUGACCUUUUUUUUUUUUUUCUUAAGCCACUGUCUUUUUUUUUGUUUGUUUUUAUCACAUGUAGGAAAUUCAGAGCUGCCCUGAGGCUGAACUAUUGUUUCAGUGCAAUCCUGCAUCUCAACAUCUUCGUUUCAGCCAUGACUUUGCAGCCACGUCUGAGGCAGUAUUAACUGCUGUUGUACUGUUUUUGUUUCUGGACUUUGAAUAAAGCAAAAAAAUAAAUAAAAUUUAAAAAAAAAUUGUCGGACCAUGGUUUGUGUAUGGUCUGCACACAAAGGGGAAUGUGGAUCAACC